rnacentral:lncRNA from 1 species
UACCUUGUGGGGUUCAUCCUUGAGAUUCAUUGGGGUUCAUUUGUGACGGAUGUCACUCGCUUAGGGUUCAUUUGUGACGAUUAUGGUGAUUAUCAUUUGGGGUUCAUCUUUGGGGUUCAUCUUUGAAUAUUUGAUUGCUUUGUUGUGGUUCGCACGGAUAACCUUUUUCUUUGGUGUUCGCUGGUUAACAUGUGCUAUUGUUUGGAGUCGGAUAUAAGUCCAUGUAUUGGCAUUCUGUUUCCUUGUUUGAUUUUGUGUGGAGUCGGAUAUAAGUCCAUG